rnacentral:rRNA from 1 species
UACGUAGGGUGCGAGCGUUGUCCGGAAUUAUUGGGCGUAAAGAGCUCGUAGGCGGUCUGUCGCGUCUGCUGUGAAAACUCGGGGCUUAACCCCCGGGCCUGCAGUGGGUACGGGCAGACUAGAGUGCGGUAGGGGAGACUGGAAUUCCUGGUGUAGCGGUGAAAUGCGCAGAUAUCAGGAGGAACACCGGUGGCGAAGGCGGGUCUCUGGGACGGUACUGACACUGAGACGCGAAAGCGUGGGGAGCGAACAGG